GACGAACGCUGGCGGCGUGCCUAAUACAUGCAAGUAGAACGCACAGAUUAUACCGUAGCUUGCUACACCAUAGACUGUGAGUUGCGAACGGGAGAGUAACGCGUAGGUAACCUGCCUGGUAGCGGGGGAUAACUACUGGAAACGAUAGCUAAUACCGCAUAAUAUUGAUUAUUGCAUGAUAAUUGAUUGAACGAUGCUAUUGCAUCACUACCAGAUGGACCUGCGUUGUAUUAGCUAGUAGGGGAGGUAACGGCUCACCUAGGCGACGAUACAUAGCCGACCUGGGAGGGUGAUCGGCCACACUGGGACUGAGACACGGCCCAGACUCCUACGGGAGGCAGCAGUAGGGAAACUUCGGCAAUGGACGAAAGUCUGACCGAGCAACGCCGGGGGAGUGAAGAAGGUUUUCGGAUCGUAAAGCUCUGUUGUAAGGGAAGAACGGGUGUGAGAGUGGAAAGUUCACACUGUGACGGUAUCUUACCAGAAAGGGACGGCUAACUACGUG
rnacentral:rRNA from 1 species